AGGAAAGCUACCCACACAAGGGCAGCCUGAGAGUGUUUUGGACAGCAAGAUCAAUGAGCUUCACAGAAGAAUGAGCUUAGCCUUGAGGUCAGCUCCAUCCUUCUUCCUUUCUCCACCUUGGAACCUGAAAAGUGAAGCAGCUAAAAGGAACCUCAUGCUUUCGCAGAUUCUGCACUUCACACCUGAUAAAUGCACCCUGUUUUAUAUUCAUGAAGAUUCUCUUCUGUAGGAAGACUAUUGUCCCAAAGCACACAACCCCUGCACCAAUAUUUGGCAUGCCACAUUACAUUCUGGCCCACUAUGCCUCCAGAAAUGUGUGCUUGCAUUCCCGCAGCCAUUGUAACCUUGGUUUUCCAGCUUUAUUUUCUCCCAUGUAAGGAGAUGAUUUUCCCUUUUUCCCUCUCCUGUGUUGUUUUGCUUGAAUUCCGCCCACAUGGUUCCACCUGUAGCGUCUCGGAUUAAAAGUUUCACACAUAA